CCCCCCGGUAACGGUACCCCCGAAUGCAAAUCCGGAGGAACACCCUAAAAGGGGCCGGGGCUUCUCCCGUUUUAAAAAAAACCGGAAAAAG
rnacentral:tRNA from 1 species